AUUUCCCAGAAAAAUCUGUUUUAAGAAGGGCCAAAUAUGCAUGAUCCAACCUAAAUUAGCCAAAACCAUGUCUCUGACUUCUAUACCUGAACUACCUAGUCCUCUUUCUUUUAUAGCCAUUCUUGGUAUCCUUGUUAUUUAUGUGGCAAUUUGCUAUUUAGUUCUUGAUCUUGUAAGUCAAGAUCAGAACACGAGUGUAGAGGAUUCAAAAACAGAUCACAGUGCUUAUUUUUGUCUGUUGAAGCAUUAAAUGAAAUAACUUGUGUGUACCAUGGAGAAAGAGCAAACACAACUUGUGCUAUCUGCUUGGACAGUUUCCGGCACGACGAAUUAUGCAGAAUUUUCCCAGCUUGCCACCAUCUUUAUCACGCUGUAUGUAUUGAUCCUUGGCUGUCGAGAAGGCUUACUUGUCCGAUUUGUCGAACACCAUUUCGCGUUAAACCCAGUCGCCAUGCUUGAAAUAGGUAUUUAACCAAUUGCUUAACUGCAAUUUGUUGCAAUAUGGAGAGAAAUUGUAAAGAAAAGACUGGAACAUGGUUAUAUAUAUGUUCUCGAGAGGUCAUUUGCAUGUGUCUAAAUAGAUAUUGUGCUUGCAUAUGGAAUUCCAUUUAGUUCACUUUUCAUUCUGAUUUUGUGGCCAUUAUAAUUAUCUCAAUGCUCAAAAAACAGGAGUAAUCAAAAGAAUCACAAUAGAAAUUUUGAGACCAUGUUUAUCUUAAUUUACAAACCACGAAGAAAAAUUUUGUGCUGCUUAAUUAAACUGUGACUUUACCUUUCAAAUCUUCUACACAACAAAAAUGGCAAGUCCAGAAUCACUUUUCAUUAAAGCCACAAG
rnacentral:lncRNA from 1 species